GACGAACGCUGGCGGCAUGCCUAACACAUGCAAGUCGAGCGAAGAGUCCGGUUCUUUGGGCGGUCGGGGGAGUAAGGCGUGGGAAGUUGCCCUUGUGUACGGAAUACCUCUCGGAAAGUGGGAGUAAUACCGUAGAGGCCCUAUUCGGGUAAGAUUUAUGGGAGUAGGAUCAGCCCUCGUUGGAUUAGGUAGUUGGUGGGGUAAUGGCAUACCAAGCAGUGGAUGCAUAGCUGGUUUGAGAGGAUGAUAAGCUACACUUGGACUGAGACACGGCCCAGAAUCGUACGCAAUGGAGGAGAGGGGAAUCUAAGAAAAUGGCGGCAGCCAUGAUCUAGCCAUGACCGGUAAGCGAUGAUGGCCUUAGGGAUCUAAAGUUCUUUCAGCUGGGAAGAUAAUGACGGUACCAGCAGAAGAAGCCCCGGCUAACUACGUG
rnacentral:rRNA from 1 species